rnacentral:misc_RNA from 1 species
AACGCACCUUGCGCUCUCUGGUAUUCCGGAGAGCAUGUCUGUUUGAGUGUCAUGAACUCUUCAACCUACCGGUUUCUAGUAAAUCGGAUUAGUGUUUGGAUUCUGAACGCCUGCUGGCCUUUAUUGGCGAAGCUCGUUCGUAAAUGAUUAGCAUCUCAUAUUCGAAAAUCGGAUUGACUCAGUGUAAUAGACUAUUCGCUGAGGACGCUCUUUCGGGAGUGGCCGAGUUUUGUAAAGUAGAAGCUUCUAAUCCUAUUAGUCAACUUUAGACUAGACCUCAGAUCAGGCAGGAUUACCCGCUGAACUUAA